GACAGAGGGUGCAAACGUUGUUCGGAUUUACUGGGCGUAAAGAGCUCGUAGGUGGUUUGUCGCGUUGUUCGUGAAAUCUCACGGCUUAACUGUGAGCGUGCGGGCGAUACGGGCAGACUGGAGUACUGCAGGGGAGACUGGAAUUCCUGGUGUAGCGGUGGAAUGCGCAGAUAUCAGGAGGAACACCGGUGGCGAAGGCGGGUCUCUGGGCAGUAACUGACGCUGAGGAGCGAAAGCGUGGGGAGCGAACAGG
rnacentral:rRNA from 1 species